UGUGCACGUGCGGCCUCCCGCAAAUCCGAUUGGCGACGAGGCGGCCGUCUACGAGGAGGAGGGAUCUGCGUUUCAUGGAUUGUACGGCAGCGGGCAGGCAGCCGGGUCCGCUCCGGAGGGCGACGAGGCGACCGUCUAUGAGGAGGAGAUCUUCGAGCGGAGGGUCUAACCAGCCUGGCGACGUUGGGGAGGAGGAUGUCUACAAGCAGAGCUUCCCGUUCCAAGCGGCGGCGGCGCGGCACAGGUCUCUCACCUCCCAUCGCGACAUCAACCAUCGAGACAUGGCCUGGUACAACACGGUAUGCUAGCCACUUCGCCAGAAUUCCAUCGGCGCAUACUGCACCCAGAUCAAAGUGAUUCCUUUCCGAUAGAUGAGCUGAGUUUCAGGUUUCAUUGCAAGAAUAGGCUGACAAGACCUGCUCCGUUAUGCACUUAUUCCAGUGUUGAUUGAACAAACAAACGUGGUAAGGUAUACUUUAUUUUGGGGGAAGAAAAGGAGAAUGACAUUUUAUCAUGUAGCAAGACGAAGACACUUGAGCAUGAUUCCCUGCUCAAAAUCAUGCCUGGCAUCAUCCACUGCGAGUUGUUUGUGGCAGCCUCGGCGCGCUGAACUUGGCCACGGGCAAUGGCGACGAUGUCCUUCCCCAAUGCGGAUGUCUGGCACCGUCGACCGUCGUCGCGGGUUGUUUGUGGCGGCCUUGGUGCCGCACCACGGCCAUGCCCGCAUUACAGAUCAUGUCUACAAAGUUUGUUACCCAGUUUAAGAUUGAGGUACUGAAAGGUGCUAGCUUGUCAAGCAAUUACUGCUCUACCUGAAGGCUGCAAGCCCCAUGUGAAGAAUAUUUUUGAGCAAAAUUUCCUUGCCAAGCUACAUGAAACAGAUUUCCGAAACACACUGCAAUGUGUAAAAGUGGUGAAGGUAUUGAUUGGGCUAUGGCUGAAGCCCUUGAUUUUGCAUCACCCAUAGACGAAGGCAACCAUGUUAGGCUAAGUGGACAAGAUGUGCAAAGGGGAUCUUUUAGUCAACGACAUUUGCUUCUACAUGACCAAGAAACUGGGCCGAAGUACUGUCCAUUCGAUCAUGUUAUGGUGAAUCAAAAUGACGAGCUGUUCACUAUUAGCGCAAGAGCCAAGU